rnacentral:rRNA from 1 species
AAGGGGGUGAAAAGCCCCCUCGCCGAAAGCGCAAGGUUUCCUACGCAACGUUCAUCGGCGUAGGGUGAGUCGGCCCCUAAGGCGAGGCAGAGAUGCGUAGCUGAUGGGAAACAGGUUAAUAUUCCUGUACCGAUCUAUAGUGCGAUGUGGGGACGGAGAAGGUUAGCUCAGCCAACUGUUGGAUAUGUUGGUUCAAGCAUGUAGGCGUGCUCUUUAGGCAAAUCCGGAGAGCUUAGCUGAGGUGUGAUAACGAGUCUGCUUGCAGACGAAGUGAGUGAUACCCUGCUUCCAGGAAAAGCCACUAAGCUUCAGCUAUAGAUUGACCGUACCGCAAACCGACACUGGUGCGCGAGAUGAGUAUUCUAAGGCGCUUGAGAGAACUCUGGAGAAGGAACUCGGCAAAUUGACACCGUAACUUCGGAAGAAGGUGUGCCUUUAGUAGGUGAACCAUUUACUUGGGGAGCCCAAUGAGGUCGCAGAGAAUCGGUGGCUGCAACUGUUUAAUAAAAACACAGCACUCUGCAAAGACGAAAGUCGACGUAUAGGGUGUGACGCCUGCCCGGUGCUGGAAGAUUAAUUGAUGGGGUGCAAGCUCUUGAUCGAAGUCCCAGUAAACGGCGGCCGUAACAAUAACGGUCCUAAGGUAGCGAAAUUCCUUGUCGGGUAAGUUCCGACCUGCACGAAUGGCGUAAUGAUGGCCACACUGUCUCCUCCAGAGACUCAGCGAAAUUGAAAUGUUUGUGAUGAUGCAAUCUCCCCGCGGAAAGACGGAAAGACCCCAUGAACCUUUACUGUAGCUUUACAUUGGACUUUGAACAGAUCUGUGUAGGAUAGGUGGGAGGCUUUGAAGCCAGGACUCUAGUUCUGGUGGAGCCAACGUUGAAAUACCACCCUGGUGUGUUUGAAGUUCUAACCUUGGCCCGUUAUCCGGGUUGGGGACAGUGUAUGGUGGGCAGUUUGACUGGGGCGGUCUCCUCCCAAAGUGUAACGGAGGAGUUCGAAGGUACGCUAGAUACGGUCAAAAAUCGUGUUGAUAGUGCAUUGGCAUAAGCGUGCUUGACUGCGAGACUGACAAGUCGAGCAGGUACGAAAGUAGGACAAAGUGAUCCGGUGGUUCUGUAUGGAAGGGCCAUCGCUCAACGGAUAAAAGGUACUCUGGGGAUAACAGGCUGAUACCGCCCAAGAGUUCAUAUCGACGGCGGUGUUUGGCACCUCGAUGUCGGCUCAUCUCAUCCUGGGGCUGUAGCCGGUCCCAAGGGUAUGGCUGUUCGCCAUUUAAAGAGGUACGUGAGCUGGGUUUAAAACGUCGUGAGACAGUUUGGUCCCUAUCUUCCGUGGGCGCUGCAAGAUUGAGAGAGCCUGCUCCUAGUACGAGAGGACCGGAGUGGACACACCUCUGGUGUAUCGGUUGUCACGCCAGUGGCAUUGCCGAGUAGCUAAGUGUGGAAGAGAUAACCGCUGAAAGCAUCUAAGCGGGAAACUCGUCUCAAGAUGAGUCUUGCCGGGGCCUUGAGCCCCCUGAAGAGUCGUUCAAGACCAGGACGUUGAUAGGUUGGGUGUGGAAGCGCAGUAAUGCGUUAAGCUAACCAAUACUAAUUGCUCGUGAGGCUUGACC